CCAUGCAGUUGGUAUUAACUUUAAGUAAUGCCAAAAAUUGGAAUGGUGUUUUACCUCCAUCUGACUCAACAGAAACUCCACUUCAAAUGAUCAAUUAUAUACAUCAUGAAAUGAAAGAGCUGACCAUACUACAAUAUAAAAUCUGUCUCUGUAAAAGUAUCAGCCACAAUGCAGUCUGAGGGAAAUAAACUUACUGAGUUCUGCCAUUUUCAUUCCAGUACUUCCCACCAUACUCCAGAGAGUUCUCUUGUCCUCUUUUGGCCAUGUGAGGAUACAAGAAGAUGGCAGUCUGCAACCAAGACGGCUCUCACCAGAACCCAACCAUGCUGGUAAUCUGAUCUCAGACUUCCAGCUCCAGAGCUGUAAGAAAUAAAUUUCUGUCGUUUAUAAGCCAC
rnacentral:lncRNA from 1 species